AUAUCGACAAAAGUAUCGAUAUUAUCGAAACAGUAGCCAACCGGAAAUGCACGUUACUGCGUCGGUAAAUUUUCGGUUGAAAAUUCGCGGUAGUAGCGAAUAGAGGGCGACUGCAUUCGGUGGUACGCGGUGCAGCAUCCUAACAAAAUGACGUUUCUGUCAUUUAGAAAGUACUUUUAUUUAUUGUUAAUUGUGCAUUUAUCGAAGUUCUAGUGAGUGUAAACCAACAACAUCUUAAUAAGCUGUAAUUACUGUUCGUCCAAUGUCGGACGACGAGAAGGAAGAAAAACCGUUCGCGGUGGAGCGCGCGAAGAGCGGUCGCGCGAAAUGCAAAAAAUGCAAGUGUCCCAUAGAGAAAGACACGGUGAGGAUCGCGAAGCUGAUGGCGAAUCCGUUCGCCGAGGGGAAGAUGAAAGCGUGGCACCAUCUGAGCUGUCUCUUCGAGGUGUUCGCGAAACAGAGGGCCACCACGAAGAGGAUAGAGGAUCCCGAAGAAGACGUAAGCGGGUGGGAGGAGUUAGACGAAGAGGACAAGAAGACUGUUCUUCAGAAGCUCGAGGAGUUUGAGAAUUCAUGUCCUUUUAAGACUCCGAAGAACAAAAAGGAUCAACCACCGAAGAAACGCAAAGCAACAGGUGAUUCUGACUCACCACCUAAGAGGAAGUCGAAGAAUCCUAAGGGCGCGUCGACAUCCAACGAAGAAGCUAAGGAAGACGUCUUGAAAUCGAGGAGUUCGAAAGAUGACGCCUUUCUGGAGUUUCAACGACUUUGUGAUCAUUUGGCGAAGGUUGAUGCGUACACGGAGAAGACUGCUGUUGUUAGGAAGCUGCUGACCAAAGGAUCCGAAGGGGAUGGUUUCAAGAGCGACCGGAAGCUGUGGUGUAGGAUGCUGCUCCCAGGCGUCGCAAAGAGGAUCUAUAACCUUCAAAGCAAGCAGUUGGUGAAACUCUUUGCCCGCCUACUGCUGCAAGAUGAAGACGACAUGCUGGAACAUUUGGAACAGGGAGACAUUGCCGAAACGAUACGAACGUUCUUCGAGACGAGUGUAGCUGUUAAACCGGCUGAGAAAAGUGUUCUCACCAUGCAAGAGGUGGAUCAGUUCCUGGAGAGGUUAUCCUUUCUCACCAGGGAGGAAGAUCAGAUCAAUCACUUCAAAUCGAUCAUUUCCAGGUGUACAACGAACGACCUGAAAAUGAUUAUACGUCUGAUAAAGCACGACCUGAGGAUAAACGCAGGUCCGAAGCACGUUUUAUCAGCGAUUCAUGAGCAAGCCUACGAAGCUUUCCAGGUAUCCAGAGACCUGGACAGUGUUGUGGAACGAUUUUCGCAGGCUCCUUCUGGAUCUAAACUCGGAAAAGUAUCUUCUGGUUCUUCUGGAGGUGGUAAAGUCGCUCUGUCACUGAUGACACCUGUUUUACCGAUGCUGGCUGAAGCUUGUAAAUCUGUGGAGAUGGCGAUGAAAAAAUGCUCGAGUGGCAUGUUGUCGGAGGUGAAAUACGACGGAGAACGUGUACAGGUGCAUAAAAGAGGCAAUGAGUUUCGAUAUUUUAGCAGGUCUUUGAAACCUGUGCUUCCUCACAAGGUGAAUCAUUUCAAGGAUUAUAUUCCGAAAGCUUUCCCAGACGGCGAUGAUCUUAUUUUAGAUGCUGAAGUGUUGAUGAUCGAUACAAAUACUGGUCAACCCUUACCUUUCGGUACUUUAGGUAUCCACAAGAAAGCGGAGUUCAAAGAUGCCAACGUUUGCCUAUUUGUAUUUGACUGUAUUUACUAUAAUGGGGAUGUCUUACUACACAAGAGUAUGAUGGAGCGGAGGAAGAUCUUAGAGGAAAGGAUGACGGAGAUACCUAACAGGAUUAUGCUCUCAGAAGUCCAGGAAGUUCGUCGUCCACAAGAUUUAGCAAAGAUGAUUGCCAAAGUUCUCAGCAUGGGUUUAGAAGGAUUGGUCUUGAAGGAUGUUACUGGUAAAUACGAGCCAGGCAAGAGGCACUGGCUGAAGGUAAAAAAGGACUACUUGUUUGACGGCGCUAUGGCCGAUACUGCGGAUCUCGUUGUGCUCGGUGCAUGGUACGGCACAGGAAACAGAGGUGGUAUGAUGUCCAUCUUCCUCAUGGGUUGCUACGAUGAGGACCAAGGGAACUGGGUAACAGUAACCAAGGUACACACAGGACAUGACGAUGCCACCCUGACCAUGCUACAGGAUGAAUUGGACAUGAUCAAAAUAGCCAAAGAUCCUAACAAAGUGCCAAAGUGGUUGCGAGCCAACAAACCUAUGAUCCCUGAUUUUGUGGCUAGAGAUCCAAAGAAACAACCGGUAUGGGAAAUCACAGGAGCAGAGUUUACUAACCAAGGGGUUCAUACAGCUGACGGUAUCAGUAUAAGAUUCCCCAGGGUAACCAAGAUCCGUCGCGACAAGGAUUGGUCCAGUGCGACUACCCUGAACGAAUUGCGACGUCUUUUCAAGACCAGCUCUGAAUCGAUUGACUUCAGCCUUCUCCUAUCAUCUGAUUAUAAGAUCAAACAAGAAGCCGACAGUGAAAGUAAACCAACUACCGACAGAAAGUCUAAGUCCCCCACAAAAAGAAACGGUGAAUUAAAAAUCUUCAGUCGCUCCCCGAGCACCAGCACAGAAAAUAGUCCCAGUUGCAGUAAAACAAAGCAAACUCUUGAAGAAGUGAAAGUGAAAGUCGAAGAGGAAGACCCCGCAGAGUUCUACGCGUUCAUCAACAAAGAUUACAUAGAGUACUCUGUGGAUGGAACUCCUCUGAACUGGAUCGAAGGUCGAAAGCCACAGCAGGGUCUGCCGUCGAACGCCAAACCUCUGCGGGAUCUUACAGAUGACGAAGUGAAGUCCAAAUCGAUACUGAAAGGCGUUCCAGUCAGUCUGGCGUCGAGCUUCAGGAAGAAGAAGAGGAAGGAGGCUCAGAGGUUACUAAAGACGUAUCCUUCUAUUUCCAACGCAUUUUAUUUUAGCAACUCAAUGUAAUUAUCGUUCGACGUUACACAACGAUUUCUGGGUACAUCUCGAGAGAACCUGCCAGAGGGAGAACCGUGGAGUGUCAGCAAGCAGUUCGUAGAAAAUGGAGCACUUUCUCCCUCGAGGCGGAUUUGCAGAAGACGACUAGCUUAACGACCGUGUGGCGACCAGUCUCGGGGCGAGGGUGUUGGAGGAUGUUGAACGGAGCGGGGCGAUGUACGUGGUUCAUCCUUGCAGGGGGAUACCGUCGUCGGAGGUUCAG
rnacentral:misc_RNA from 1 species